AUUGAUGACUUUUAUAUAUGAAUUUUCUCCUUUUUUAUCAUCUUUGAAGAAAAGUUUUAAAAAUCUAAAUUUCAAGGCAUCUACCUGCAACCACUGCCUUGGAUGGCAGCAAUUCAGCUCAGGACAAGACGCCUCAAAGUGGAUGCUUUGACUCUCCUAUUUGGACCCCAAGGCUUAGACAGGUCCCGAAGCCUGUGAUCACUGCAGAAAUGGGAUUCAGGUGACCCACAAGCGCGCGCCAGACCCCAACAUCUACCGAGCAAACCAAGGGCUUCCGGCCGUGGCGGUUGCCAACUUGGCGGGUUUCCGGAGUGAGGGCGGGGCGGGGCUGAGAGACGGGCAAAGGAGCUUGGAGAAGCGUCCUGAGUUGCCAUGGAAACGAGGCCCAGCAGCAGUCUUAGCAGCCCAGAGGAGUCCUGUGAAGCUCUUCCCCAAGGACUGCUAGUGUUCACCGGUUCUUCGGAUCGCGAUGCCAACUUGGCCAAGCAGUUCUGGAUCGGGGCGUCAAUGUACCCCCCCAACGAAUCUCAGCUGGUGCUGUCCAGAGGUAGCAGCCAGCGUCUGCCGGUGGCGCGUCCUUCCAGGAGCAAUGCACCGGAGAAAACUUACUUCCAGCCUUUUUUCCUUGAGGAAAGCAAGAGUAGAGAUGUCACUGCUGAAACCCUAAAGAUUCAAGAAUCCGAGGAGAAAAAAAAGUAUCUCCAAAAGGCUAAAAAGAGAGAUGAAAUUAUCCAACUCUUAAGAAAACAAAGAGAAGAAAGGAUCUCGAAGGAACUGAUUUCCCUUCCACAUAAACCAAAAGGCAAAGUACACAAAGCAAGGAAUAUUUGCAUUUUAAAAGAGGGCUGACUAGAAGGAAUACUGGGUAAUCCAAAGAAAUCAGUCACCAGUGAUGAAAUCUCAGAAGUUUGACUCUUAGGAAAGUGAUUUCAGAGUCAGAUAAAGAAGACCAGGAAGAAGUCAAAGCCUUGGACUAAUUUGACUUGACACCUGGGAGAGGAUGGCUCACUUAGAUCUUCACUUUUGAAACAACUGGCUCUUACAUCAGGAUCACUGGAAUCAAUUAACUUAGACCAAGAAAUAAAAGUUAAAUAUGCAGCACUUCUAGGAAUACCAG